CUUGGAUCCGGCAGGCGGUACCCAAGGAGAGCCCUGGGAUCCACUACAUCACAAUGUGUUCAUUUAGCAGACACUUGUCAAGAGCAACUUACAACAUGGAAGACUCCACAAAGUUUCCUGUACACACGAUGUAGCACAGCCUGCUACAGGCCUCACCUUUAGGGAUGAACUUCAGCGAGCUGCUGAAUAUUCAGAAGCGGGACAUUCCUCUUUUCGGCCCAUCAUUUAGGAACUCAUGGCCAAGUCCAUUCCCACACUUGCCACAGGACACCUGUAACUCAGCACACCUAGGCUACAGCUAAACUGAGAACACUGCAUACUUAAAACACAACACAGUGCAUCGGAAAUACAGCCAUACCCAUACCCAUAUCAUCUUAAAUGUACACAAAAGCAACAGAGAGAAGAAGCUGUGUACACAACAAACUGGGCUGUUAUCCGGGUUUCAGAUUCAAAACCCUGGAGUAAAACUGACCAAUCCAAAGCCUAUUUACACGAUUCAAUCAUAGCAGAUAAGUUAUGUACUGCGACCAGGAAAAGUCCAUUAUCAAUUUCUGUUAAAGUGAACACCAGUGAGGAAAUCAAGAUUCGGAUUUGAGCGCUCACCUUGUAAGCUCCCCAUUUCUCCUCUUUUUUGGACACGCUGUCCUCACGGAUGGUCUCGGAGAAGGCCGGCCACGGGGUAGAGUGCUCGAAUUUGGACCUGCUACUGAACAGCUGGUGUCCACAUUUCGAACACGCAUACAUACCUUUGGAAGACGGUAAAUACAUACUG